UACGUAGGCAGCGAGCGUUGUUCGGAGUUACUGGGCGUAAAGAGUGCGUAGGCGGUUGCGCAAGUCUGGUGUGAAAUCUCCCGGCUUAACUGGGAGGGUGCGCUAGAAACUGCGUGGCUGGAGUGUGGGAGAGGCAAGCGGAAUUCCUGGUGUAGCGGUGAAAUGCGUAGAUAUCAGGAGGAACACCUGCGGUGUAGACGGCUUGCUGGACCACCACUGACGCUGAGGCACGAAAGCGUGGGGAGCAAACGGG
rnacentral:rRNA from 1 species